CACCAAUGAAGAGCCUAGCUUGUUCCAAAAGUUUUUAAGCCAAUCAUCUUCCUCUGAAAUGUUCCUAACGCCCCUUCAUCACAAAAUCUUUUUCUGUCAGCCAUUGAUGCUACUCGGUGAGUAUCUGAGGUCAUUUUAGCUUCAUUUGCAACGAAUGUAAUGCCAAAGACUAUAAAUGUGAUGAAAUAUGACAAUAACAUGUCUAGUCAACCGAUUUGUUUGACUACAGGGGCUUCCCAAACUGUAAUUUAAUAACUUUCGUAGAUCGCUAGCUACUGUAGCCUGCUGCUGCACAGGCAGGUUAGCAUUGGCUGUAAAUUAUUUUUAUGUCAGCCAUCGAUGCCACUCGGUGAGUAUAUGAGGUAAUUGUGCUUAAUUUGCAACAAAUGACAACUAAAUGUGAUGAAAUAUGACAAUAACACUUCCAACCGACUUGUUUGACUACAGGGGCUACCCAAAUUGUGUAAUGUAACAAUGUUCGUAUAUCGCUAGCUACUGUAGGUGGACAAAACUCAAAGUUUAUUUGACCACUGACAAUCCUGUAAAACCUUAGCUAACAUCUAUAUCAACUCAAAGUUGGAAUUCUAUACUAUUUAAUUGUCUAUUUUCUUUCGUUUUUUGAUGGUAUGCGUUUGAAGUGUAUGUAGUUGAAUGAAUUGUAUGACCAUGAUAUGAUGGUCAUUGGGGCAAACGUGUCUUUCUAUGUAAACUGCAUUUAACUGCAUGUGAAAUAAUAAUCACCCUAAUCUUACCCAUAACCCCCACUGCUGUCCUCCUCCUAGCAGACCUAUCAAACGUAAGUUCCUUUAUAUGUAUCUAAUAUGGUUAUGCUGUCACUUGUCACUGCACUCCUCAGUCAUGAUAAUAGUAUUUUUCUUGUCUCCUAAGAUGGAAAAUCCAAGGUUCCGUUUCACGCCCUCACAGGAGUUGGUCCUCACGGCCACACACCCCAGGCAGUAAAAGUGGCCGCUGACCCCCUGCUUCUGGUGCUCAGGGCCCUCCUGUGAGGACGCCUUAACUCGCUACUCGUGAGCCUAUCCGCCCUUUGCUGAGAUGGUCAGGUUCAACCGGGCGCACGAGGAAGCUAAAGUCCUGUCCUCACAGCCAGGCCAGGAGGGCAAGGUGCUUGUUGGCAUCAGGAAGUACAAGUGGGACUCACUGCAGGACCUGUAUGAGGCUAUGGGUGUAGACAGGAUAAAAUAUGUCAGGAGCUUGAGGACGCAGACACCCCGUUAUCCUGGCAGUGUGAUGGCCGCCUUGAUUGACUACAUUCAGCGCAGAGACCAGGAGGGGGUAGCUGCUGUGGCCAGGCCCACCGCAGCCAGCACCAACCCUGCCAGCACCACCCGGCCCAAGAGUGCGGCUACGCCUCUUGGUCCUGCGGUCUCUGCGUUCCUUUCAAGGCGCUCUCUCGCCCCAGGUGAACUGCAGGCGAAGAUGAAGAAACUCAUUGCAGUUCAAGGUGAGUGUGUAGUUACACAUGUAAGAUAAUACUAACCCUUUUGGAUAAGCUGUGUAGCUCACAAUCCUUUCUCUCUCCACGUGAUAUAGGGGUGUCUUUCCCUCGACCAGCACUGCCACCAACAGAUCUAUCAGACACAGAGCUGGUCAAAGCAGCUGCUGACAGAACAUGUUUGUUUUUACGUCACUAUUAAUUGACACAGGAAAUUUGAUAAGUAUUCAGUUAAAGUUAAAGCCAGAGGGGGUGACCCGGAUGAUAGACGACUGGUGGACAGUGAGAGUGCCCUCCAGUUUGGUAAAUACCGUGGUCAAACCUUCAAGUGGCUGCUAAGCCAUGAUGUCAGCUAUGCUGUCAUGGUCUUGGCUUCUCACCAGCAAGAGCAGGAGAUGGGGGACACAGACACGUCUCCUGAAAUGGCCAACAAGGACCGGUUUGACUGGUAUACCAACCUGUUUCCUGAGGUCCUGAAGGCAGUGGAGGAACGCAGGGUACGGGACGGGACCUUGCCCCACCCGACCUGACCAGGAGGACUCGUGCCUUGUUGGCUUUGGGAACCACAAGUCCCUUACCUACAAAGAGCUUUAUGAGGACAAGGAAAGGAAGAGGUAUUGUGACCUUACAUUGUAACGACCACCUGGCAGCGCUACAGUAGAUCUGGAGUGGCACCUCCCAAGCUGCUCUCUGUCGACCGGGACUGCUGCACCCUGAUGGGAAAGGGGAAGAUUGCAGCCAUGUUCAGCCAGUGGGAUGAGCUCAUCGUCCGGCUGUGGAUGUGUGGCACCUCAUCCGUCGUUUAGCUCGGGGAGUGACCACAGAGACUGAAUGCAGGCCAUCUGGCAGACCCAGAGACUACACCUGGUCUGCAUUCAGGACCCCCCUGGUGUCAGCCUCUACACCAACAAGGGCAAGGACGUGACCAAGGGAGGGGUCAUCCUGCCUGUGUUGCGCUCGUGGGUCCACCUCCCUGGAGUCGUUCCACCUCAACCGAUUCAUUCCUGGUGUUAAAUGUAAAACUGGGUCAUGUUGUUACGUCAUGUUGUGUGUUAACAACUGUGUGCAUGGGAGGAGUUAUUAUUUCUUGUUGUCAUCAUCUAUUGCUUUCAGGCCUACCUCCUUGAAGGGUUGGUUGGGUGGAAUGAGGACCGUGCCGAAGCUACAGCGGGGGGGCAGAAGCAGACCCUGCACUGCUAUGAUGUUGUAGCCCAGCACGCCAUCAAUGAGCUGAGCCAGAAGCUCCUGGGCUGCAGUCUUGUGAAGGAUCACACAAGGCCUGCAAAGUACACUGGGGAACUCAUUGGGGUCGAGUAUCUCUUCUCCCAGACCCAUGGUGACCAGAUGUUGGGAGUCCAACCUCAGUAAGGACCCAGAUGUCCCAGACGGGACACCUACUCUAUUUGAGGGAGAGGAGGAUGACCCCACCAUGUCCUUGCCGACCUCGAUGACCGUCUCCCACCAGUCCCUCCACUCAGGAAGGCCACUCCACCGCCCAAUAAACCCAACCCAUCCCAGGUACCUGUCGUCACACCCCCUGAUGACACUGCACCAGCUGCCAGUCAGGACCCAGAGGAUGACGAGAACAUAGGACCUGAUGGGGUUAGUGGAUACCAGCACGUGGUCCUCUUGGCCACUAGUCAGCCACUGCCACCUCCACCCAGUCUGUCUUCCACCUCCCUCCCUAUAACGCCAGUCUUCCAAGACCUGCCCUCGACCUCCACUCCUCUUCCCCCUCCUGCUGGUGGACCCAAGGUCUCCAGGACCACCGAAUGGAGGAGGAGGAAGAAGCUGGAGUCUGGCAUAAAAGUCAGAGCGCACAAGCCAUAUGAAGACUAUAAGUGCUCUAAAUGUGGCAAGCCUAAAACUUCUGAGUUUGGACACAGUAUGUAUGGUUCUGUGAGGUUCUGUGCCUCUACCUCUGGUGGCCAAACUGUGGAGGAGUGGCUGGCACUCAUGAGGACCCAGCAUGGUGCUAGCCAAGGCCAGUAAACUCUUGACUGACUGGUGUGUACAUUGUAAAGUAGUUUUUGUAAAUAUGUUCUUUGUUAAUUUUUUUUACGACAUUCAUUGUUAAUCUCUUGUACAUUUAGCUAAUUUAAAAUCUUCUUAACUUGUACAGUCGGUGUAGGGGACCUUACGCUGGGUUGCUUCACACGUGACAUUCCCUGAGAAAUAAAUAAAUUGAAUGCAAGCACUUUCUCCCUUAAAUUCAUUUUGAUUUAUUGUCAUACAGUCUCUUUUAAAGUUCAACAAAUAAAAAGACAAGUAAAUCUGUCAUAAUUGUAUUU
ensembl:lncRNA